rnacentral:tRNA from 1 species
GGAGUGAUGUCUGAGUGGCCGAAAGAGCUCGAUUGCUAAUCGAGUGUACGAGAAAUCGUACCGAGGGUUCGAAUCCCUCUCGCUCCG